rnacentral:lncRNA from 1 species
CACAUGGAGGACCUAUGGUUUCAAAAGCUUUUCAGGUGAUUCUAAUGAGCAAUCAGGGUCGAAUGUUGCUAUUGAAGGAAACAGUGGCAUAAGUAAAUAAGAUCUAUAGAGAGGGAAAGACCAAAUGUUAAGCAAUGCUCCCCAGAUAUCUCAAAUUUUCCUUCAAAAUGGUCAACCAGAGGCAUCGCUGGUAUUCCUUUCUCUCCGCUCACCUGCUAGUUGAGAUGCCAAAGGUGGAUGGCACAAUGGACACUCCACGCAGAUCUUUUGAAAAAUUGAUGGAACCUGACUACACGAUGAUGCAAGUUGAGUGGAGACUGGUGGCAGAAGAUGAGCUGGAGCCCAAGAAACCAGCAAGACACUAUAGGAGAAAUGAAGGAAAGCUGGAAACCAUUAUUGAAGAUGGACUACAGCCCACAAAUAUGCCACCUGAAAGGGAAGGCCACUGGGUGAGGAGACAGCAAGAGGCAAGAGUCAAGAGGCUGUGAGAUGGAUCUCCCAGGACAGAAGGUGUAUUUUGACAUACCGCUCCCUGGUGUUUGAUGUGAUCCUUCAUAUUUCACAUUAAAGCGAGGCUGCUUCCGUUCAUCCAGCAUCUGCUGCUGGCUUCCUCCUCUGUAUCCAGGUGCCCGGUCACCACCCUCUCCUGCACUGACUGAGCCCUCCUUUGCCACUGUAGCCACUGUGUGUCCUGAGGCUCCUCAUCACCAGCCCUCACAUGCUUUCUGCGCUCCAGUGAAGGGGCCACUUGUGCAAUCAGGUAGGAAAAGGUCGAUUUUUCCAGAGUGAUUUAUACCCUCUGAUAAUUGAGCUAUCAUCGGUGACACUGCUGAGCACGCAAAAGAAAGCAGCACCUUCGGUUACAGGAAGAGCUCAGUCCUUGGAAGCAUCUGGAAAUGGUGACAGGAUGAUCUGGAUAUCAAAAUAAAAUUCUAGCAUCAUCAGGGGCCCUUGGGCAAUAUAUGUGAAUUUACAACAAAGAAAUAUUCUAUAUUCAAGGAAAACUCUGCUAAUGAGAACUGAGCUUUAAAAAAAGGCCAUGGGCAAAGCCAAAGAGGGAGUCUUGAGCCUUGCUAUUAACCUCCUGUUUUUGGUGCUUCUUUUUAUAAACAGCUUGUUAGGAAAGACGAUGUGCUGUCCUCUCCUGUGGACUAAUUUAUAACAUCUCAAAGUACAGAGACACGUCACCGACCAUUGCAACACUGUGCAGCCCAUCAAGUGCUCAGGAGCGUUGGACUUGACAAUCAGAGAGGCUUGGGUUUGAAUCUCACUGUUGCUGUUUGCUUGUUGU